rnacentral:misc_RNA from 1 species
CAGACGACGCACAACGACUACCGAACGGAAAAUGGUGAAUAGACGCAUCGCCAAGGGCCACCGGCUGGCGCGCAAGAAGAAGCUGAAAACAGCAAAGAAGUCCUCGGGAGAUGGGCCUGCCGCUCGCGCGGGUGCCGGCAAGACAGCGGGGAAGCCAAGGACGGCUGCCACGCGAGUGCGUGUUGUGAAUGGUGUCAGCAAGAAGCAGCAGCAUUGCUUUGGCGAGAUCGCGUCGCUGAAGAAGCAGAAGAGUAAGCUUCUGAAGCAGCAGGCAGCGGAGCGGAUGGUGCUCAAGGAGCACUUGCGGGACCUCGAGGCCCGCAAAGAGCGCACUCGCCGCGGCGAGACUGCCAAGGCGGAGCGCCGAGAGCUUGCCAAGUACAUACGCCAGCUCAAGCAAGAGCAGCAGGUCAAGCACGCCUCUGAGCUUUCGAGCCUGGAGGUGGAACUGAAGCGGCUGAUCGGCGAGCGCGACAACGUGCGUGCGGCACGCGCGGCAGCAGGCAUGAACAAGGACGACGCCGACUGGGAAGACGUUGGCGACGCAGAUGACGACGACGUCAACGAAGAUGAGCUACAGCGCAUGUUCGCGCAUCUUACAAUGUAGGCUCUCCCUCUCCCCUUCCCCUCUGCCGUCUGCACGCCCUGCUGAUUCGUGUCGCGUUUUCAUUAGUGGCUGUGUGUGUGUGUGUGUGUACUGGACUGUGCUGGUCUGGAAGAGCUUGGAAACCGAGUGGGGAAGGGGCGGCAAUGUGGGCGGCGCGUUCUCGUUUCCGUUCUCCAAACAGCCGCUGUUGCACGUGUAUCGGUUAUGGGUCGGUGCUCCCCCAGCGCUGCUGUGCCUGCCCCUGUCCCCCUCCUCACCACCACAGUCCUUCCUUCGAUUGCCCCACGACCGCAUUUUUGUGCUGUGUGCCCUACAUCGAGUAAGCGAUAAUGCCCCCACCCUCACCCCCAUCCUCAUCCGUUCCCUGUCUCUCCGUCUUCUCCUCUUAUAAACCAGGAGUAACGUUAGGGUGAGGUUAAGGCAGGGAAGCAGGCGAGAGAGUUCAAGGGAGGUGCGGAGCACAACAAAGGCAUCGAAUCGAAAACAAGUCGCAUGUGCGUGUGUAUGUGUGUGUGUCCGUCACGGGUGCAACGAGGCGUAGACUGGCGAAUGGUCAGAAAAGGGCGGCAGAGAAGCUUAGGCAACAGAGAAGGCCGAUGCUGUUGCUUUUCGUUCACGGCUUUGUUUUGAGACUGCCUCCCUCAGCCGUGGGGCUUCACGAGCGCCGUGCCUCUUACACGCCUUUUCCCUCUCAUGAUACCUGGCACGCGUGUACGUCUCUAUCGAUAUAUGUACCCUCCUUCUCGCCUCCCUCUCUCUUUGGUUUCUCUUCCCAUACCCGCUGAACGGUGCUGGCGGUGCCUCCUGUGUGUGCGUGUCUGUCUGUGUGCAAG